AUGCCUCUCCCCCAUUUCCUCUUAAAAUCAUGUGAAUCAGACACUUCUGAGCUAAUAAUUAAAAAAAAAAAAAAAAAAAAAAGGAAGAAAGAAGAAGAGGAAGAAAAACCCACCUCUCCCCACUCCCCAGCCUCCUCCAGCUUCUUGACUAAUACCUCUGGGCAGUUCACUUCAGAAUGGAGCAGAUUCCUGAGUGCACAAUGGCAAACUGGCAGACAAGUCCCCUGUCACAGAAAGCACAGGCGACGCUUUCUUUGUAAAAAAAAAAAAAAAACAACAAAAAACCCCCCCACACACACAGGAAAAUACAGAGGCUGGAACAAAAGACAGGGUCCCCGCACAGCGAGACGAGGCAUCGCGCGCCCGUCUUGCGCGCGCCUCCGCCCGAUCGUCGGAGCGGCCUCGGCAUCCGCCGGCGACGACCCCGCGUCCUCCCCGGGCGGGCGGGCUCCGGCUCGGGGGGCAGAGGCCGCGCCGCGGGCAGCCUGGGGCGGGCGCCCCGGGGGUCGGGGCCAUUUCAAACUUAGCUAUUUGGUCUCAAUUAGGUGGAAAAUGGAGAUAAGGCGGGCGCAGCCCGAGGUCUCGGGGCGCCGUGGCAGGCCGGGGAGCGCCGGCUCAGCAGGUCCCGGGCGCCCGGCCGAGCCCCGCAGCCCCGGGGCCGAGCCGCAGCCCCCCGCGCAGCCCCCCGCCCGGACCCCGGCCCCGGCCCCGGCCCCGGCCCGACCCGACCCGCGGCGCCGAACAAAAGCCCCAGCCUGGCGGGCGGCCCCGCGGGGGGCGCGGCAAGUUGGGGCUCGCUCACCUGGAGCCGGGCGCCCGCGAGGCCCGGGGCCCGCUCGUCCCGCCGCACCUGGCCAUGCUCCUCGCUCCGGCUCGCCGCGGACCACCUGUGCCGGCGCGCCCCGUCCUCCCGUCGGCGGCCCCGGGCGCGAGCAGAGCAGCCGCGGCCCGGCCUCCGCGCCCCCCGCACGCGCCCCGGGCUCUGCCUCGUCGAGCCGCGCGCAGCCACCGAACCGCCGCGGACGCUUUUGUUUUCCCUCCUCUCGCAGACGAGGCGCGCGGCGCUCGGCCCGCCCGCCGCAGCCCCCACCUGCAGCCUCCGCGCCGCCCGCCCCGCCGGGGGCCUGCCCAUCGCCCCGCGCACCCCGCCCGCCGCGGGCGCCGGCCGCUCGCUCCGGGGCUCCCCCGCUCGGGAGGGGGCGGCCCUCGGCGCGGUCAGGUGACCCCCGGCGGGGCGCGGGGCGCGGGGCGCGGGGCGCGGGGGGCGCGGGUAGUACACGCGCGGGCACAGUCACGGCACCACGCGGCGAGGGCGCCCGAGCUCCUGCACGCGAAGGCACUCGGGGCCCCCUGUUCGCCCCGGAGAGAAGCUAA
rnacentral:lncRNA from 12 species